GACGAACCGUGCGAACGUUAUUCGGAAUCACUGGGCUUAAAGGGCGCGUAGGCGGGCAGGCAAGUCAGGGGUGAAAGCCCACGGCUCAACCGUGGAAGGGCCUUUGAAACUGCCUGUCUGGAGGGAGGUAGGGGCGUGCGGAACUUCCGGUGGAGCGGUGAAAUGCGUAGAUAUCGGAAGGAACACCGGUGGCGAAAGCGGCGCGCUGGACCUCUUCUGACGCUGAGGCGCGAAAGCCAGGGGAGCAAACGGG
rnacentral:rRNA from 1 species